AACGAACGCUGGCGGCAGGCCUAACACAUGCAAGUCGAACGCAUCGCAAGAUGAGUGGCGCACGGGUGAGUAACACGUGGGAAUGUAUCCUUUGGUUCGGAAUAACGUCUGGAAACGGACGCUAAUACCGGAUGAGCCCUUAGGGGGAAAGAUUUAUCGCCGAAGGAGCAGCCCGCGUCUGAUUAGGUAGUUGGUGGGGUAAAGGCCUACCAAGCCGACGAUCAGUAGCUGGUCUGAGAGGAUGAUCAGCCAGACUGGGACUGAGACACGGCCCAGACUCCUACGGGAGGCAGCAGUAGGGAAUUUUCCACAAUGGGCGAAAGCCUGAUGGAGCAACGCCGCGUGCAGGAUGAAGGCCCUUGGGUCGUAAACUGCUUUUAUCUGUGACGAUUUUGACGGUAGCAGAUGAAUAAGGAUCGGCUAACUCCGUGCCAGCAGCCGCCGUAA
rnacentral:rRNA from 1 species